CCGGUGGAGAUGCUGUUAUCUU
rnacentral:miRNA from 1 species